UGUGGUUUGAUCUGGCUGUGGCAUCUGCACCCCUUUAAGCACCAGGGUGGAUUCAGCUGAUCUGGUGGGUUAGGCAUGUGUCCCCUCUUCCCUCACUGCUCUAUGUGCAUCCUUCUCAAAGCUUAUAAUUGGUGGAAGAGGAUGACGCUCUCUGAUAAAGGAGGACCAUUCUUCGGUCAACGGUACAUGAUAGCUGUGCCCCCUGCUAUAACCUCCAAACAAGCUCUCGACUAACUUUUUAUGUGGGGGAUCUGAUUGCUUUACCUGGGUGAUUCCCAACUGUCAGACUUUUCUCAAGAUGGCUGUUUCUCCAG
ensembl:misc_RNA 7SK 7SK RNA